CCUACGGGAGGCAGCAGUGGGGAAUAUUGGGCAAUGGGCGCAAGCCUGACCCAGCGACGCCGCGUGAGGGAAGACGGUCUUCGGAUUGUAAACCUCUUUCAGCAGGGAAGACAAAAGGACGGUACCUGCAGAAGAAGCCACGGCUAACUACGGGCCAGCAGCCGAGGUAAUACGUAGGUGGCAAGCGUUAUCCGGAAUUACUGGGGGAAAAGGGUGUGUAGGCGGGUUUGCAAGUCAGAUGUGAAAAUUAUGGGCUCAACCCGUAACCUGCGUCUGAAACUACAGAUCUUGAGAGUGGGAGAGGUAAACGGAAUUCACGGUGUAGCGGUGAAAUGCGUAGAUAUCGGGAGGAAAACCAGUGGCGAAGGCAGUUUACUGGACAACAACUGACGCUGAGAGACGAAAGCGUGGGGAGCAAACAGGAUUAGAUACCCUGGUGUC
rnacentral:rRNA from 1 species